AUUGAACGCUGGCGGCAGGCCUAACACAUGCAAGUCGAGCGGCAGCGGGAAAGUAGCUUGCUACUUUUGCCGGCGAGCGGCGGACGGGUGAGUAAUGCCUGGGAAAUUGCCCAGUCGAGGGGGAUAACAGUUGGAAACGACUGCUAAUACCGCAUACGCCCUAAGGGGGAAAGCAGGGGACCUUCGGGCCUUGCGCGAUUGGAUAUGCCCAGGUGGGAUUAGCUAGUUGGUGAGGUAAUGUCUCACCAAGGCGACGAUCCCUAGCUGGUCUGAGAGGAUGAUCAGCCACACUGGAACUGAGACACGGUCCAGACUCCUACGGGAGGCAGCAGUGGGGAAUAUUGCACAAUGGGGGAAACCCUGAUGCAGCCAUGCCGCGUGUGUGAAGAAGGCCUUCGGGUUGUAAAGCACUUUCAGCGAGGAGGAAAGGUUGAUGCCUAAUACGUAUCAACUGUGACGUUACUCGCAGAAGAAGCACCGGCUAACUCCGUGCCAGCCGCCGCGGUAA
rnacentral:rRNA from 1 species